UACGUAGGCAGCGAGCGUUGUUCGGAAUUACUGGGCGUAAAGAGUGUGUAGGCGGUGCUCUAAGUUCGGUGUGAAAUCUCCCGGCUUAACUGGGAGGGUGCGCCGGAAACUGGAGUGCUCGAGCGUGGGAGAGGAAAGCGGAAUUCCUGGUGUAGCGGUGAAAUGCGUAGAUAUCAGGAGGAACACCUGCGGUGUAGACGGCUUUCUGGACCAUUGCUGAUGCUGAGACACGAAAGCGUGGGUAGCAAACAGG
rnacentral:rRNA from 1 species